GAUGAAGAACGUAGCGAAAUGCGAUAAGUAAUGUGAAUUGCAGAAUUCAGUGUAUCAUCGAAUCUUUGAACGCACCUUGCGCCCUUUAGCCAUUCCGAAGGGCAUGCCUGUUUGAGUAUCAUGAACACCUCAACUCCUCAUGGUCUUCUAUGAUGAGCUUGGACUUUGGGGGCUUGCUGGCCCAUUUGGUCAGCUCCUCUCAAAUGAAUCAGCCUACCAGUGUUUGGUGGCACCACAGGUGUGAUAACAAUCUACGCUUGAGGUUUUCCACCAGGCAACCUUCAGUAAUUGGGGUUCACUGGGGCUCACAAAUGUCUUUCUUCAGUGAGGACAGCUCUUUGAAUGUUUGAUCUCAAAUCAGGUAGGACUACCCGCUGAACUUAAGCAUAUCAAUAAGCGGAGGA
rnacentral:misc_RNA from 1 species